UACGGGGGGGGCAAGCGUUAUUCGGAAUUAUUGGGCGUAAAGGGCGCGUAGGCGGCUAUUCAAGUGGCGGGUGAAAUCCCUCGGCUUAACCGAGGAACUGCCUGCCAGACUGGAUGGCUUGAGACCGGGAGAGGUGAGUGGAAUUCCCAGUGUAGCGGUGAAAUGCGUAGAUAUUGGGAGGAACACCAGUGGCGAAGGCGGCUCACUGGACCGGUACUGACGCUGAGGCGCGAAAGCGUGGGGAGCAAACAGG
rnacentral:rRNA from 1 species